UUGCGCUUGUUUUUCAGCCAAAUUAAAGUUUCUUAAGAGAAACUUCAUCUUUUUUCGUAUUUCUGCUUUCUUUUUCAUAUGUUUUAUGAUAACAUAAAAGGGUAGUUUGUUCACGAUUUAAAAAGUUUGGUUCAUUUUGUUUCAUCCUUUCUAAGCGGUUUCAGAUUUACACAAAAUUAAAAUGCCCUCAUGGGCGAAGGAGAUUCAAAAUGGCACAAGGUACAGUUAAAUGGUUUAACGCUGAAAAAGGCUUCGGUUUCAUCACUGGUCAAGACGGAAAAGACGUUUUCGUACAUUUCUCAGCUAUCCAAACAGACGGAUUCAAAACUCUUGAAGAAGGUCAAGCAGUAAACUACGACGUUGAAGAUGGCGCUCGUGGAUUACAAGCUGUUAACGUUACACGUUAAUUCCUAGUUUCAAAUAAACCUAAGGACGUUCAUUUGAUCGUUCUUAGCGA
rfam:Lactococcus piscium MKFS47 genome assembly, chromosome: I